GUGAUGCAGCGCUGCUUCCCGCUCCCCCAGUGGGCGCUGGGUGCUGAGAGCUGGACCUCACUGUCAGGCACGAGAAACAGACGGAGGAACAGAGGGGGAGAGAGAGAGAGUGCAGGAGAGAGGCAGGAGGUUGGGGCAGAGAGAGCUGGGAGUCUGCGGGCCCUUCCUCUCUGCCCGCCCGUGGCUUAGGACUCAACUUGAGGGGAAGCAUGCUGGUCCGGACAGCAGGGGUACCCUGGCCGCAGCCUGGACACCCACCAGCACCUGCCCUGUGCAGAUGCCCGCUGGCCCCCGCUCCAGCCCCAGCGAGAUCAUGGCCUCAGCUCUCGGGUGCCCUGAGCCCAGCCACACCUUCAUCACCCUCUUUCUCUGGGGCAGGCUGAGGAGCCCCAAGUGCAAGACAGAUGCCUGCCAUGGGGCCACUGAGGCCCCAGCGAGGGGCCUCGGAGCUGCAGGGAGACCAGAAACCUGGGGCAGCGAGCUCAUCGAGGUCUCCUGUGCGGGUCAUGGCAGGGCCCACUGCCCUACAUGAGAGAGGUGUGUUUCUAACUGAGCGGUCCAGGCUCCCUCCAGCUACUGCCUCUUCCACCUCCAACCUUUGGUCUGUGAUGGUUAGUUUUAUGUGUCAGUGUGGCCAGGCUAUACUGCCCAGGUCUUAGAUUAAACACUGAUUUGGGUGUUUCCAUGAAGAUGUUUUCUACCUGUGAUUAAUACCUACAGUGGCUUGAUUUUAAGUACCAGGGUUAUCCUUGAUAAGCUGGGUGGGCCUCGUCCAAUCAGUUGAAGGCCUGUAGGGCAAGAGUGUGCUGUCCCGAGGAAAAUGCAAUUCUGCCUCUCUCAGCAACUCUCUGAAUUUCCCACCUUCCCACCUGCUCUGCAGAUUUCAGACCUGCCAGUCCCCACAACUCCAUAAGCCAAUCUGGGGGAAUAACCCUCAGACACACACGUACACCUCCCUGUUCUGUGUCCCUGGAGAACUUUGUCUUCCGCAACAUCCAGAGUUGCCCAGCCCAGGUUCCUUGGGCCAGCACCUCGGCUCGGAGGCUCCUGAUGGGCCAGGCUUGGCUGUGGCCACACCACCUUCUUCCACAUUCCAAAGGUAAACUCAGUCCUGUGGCCACACCUGACUCCAGGAAGGCUGGAAAGAACACCCAGCCCCACUCCCUGGAAGAUGAGGGCGCUAGUUCGUUAUGCUGCAUCACAAAUUACCACAUGCCUUGAUGCUUAACACAGACACAUUUGUUCACUCACCAUUUCUGUGGGUCGGAACUCAGGGCACGGCUUCCCCAGGUCCCCUGCUCAGGGUCUCACCAGGUUGCACUCGUGGUGUCAGCUGUGUUAUGCCUCCUCUGGGGCUCAGGGUCCUCUCCAAGUUCCCAUGACUGUGGGAGAGUUCAUUUCCUGGAAAUUUGGGAUCCCGGGUGACUUGCUACUUCAUGGUUGGCAGGAGAGACAGUCUCUGUUGCUCGAGGCCUCUGAGCUUAGGGAAGGCGGGAGCCUUCUCCUCUGAUCAGGUCAGGCCCACCUGGGAUCAUCUCCCUUUGGCUCAACUUACAGUUGAACUGAUUAGGGGCUUUAAUCACACCUGCAAAGUCCUUUCACCUGGGCUGCAUCACAGGACCCAAUAAGGGCAUGACAUCUAUUUGUAGGCUGUGAAACAGAUGGGGAAAGGGGAAUAAAGGGUUUGCAUGCUGGGGCAGGAAUUCAGGAGACCCUGUCCAGUACUGGGAGCCACAGAGGAGAAUGGGUUAGGUGACCAGGCGGCCCAUUUCCUCCCCAGGCCCCCAGGAGAAGGGGCACUAGGGGCACGGGGGAGCUCUCUUCUCACCAGGUGUUUUCCUGCCUGGGAGAACACUGGAGGCAUUUAUUUAAGAUUUUAAAUAAGAGGGCACGCUCUCCCCACAGCACUUCAAGAAGGGCGCACCUCACAUGGAGAGAGGUGGUGGUUCGUCUCAGGAUGAUGGAGCAGCCGCCUUCCCCCACUGGCAGCAAAGUCACACGCUGUAAAACAGCAUAAUGACCCUGUCUUCCGCAGUACAAACCACACUUUCCUCAAGCGCAGCCCCUGGGCCGGCCCCGGAUUUAUGGCCCUCCGCCUUGUCGGGGGGCGAGGUGUCGGCUCAGGGAACGCUGGCUGCUCUGGAGCACCUGCUCCAUGGGCUUCCCCUCCCAGACCAGGUCACCCUCUUGCCGCCUCCUGGCUCUAGAAAGCCCACCUGAGUUACUGAGGGCGCUGGGAUGCAAGCACCAGCCCCAUCUGUCUCCUGACAGAGCCCUGAGCGGGGAGACAGUGACAGAUCUGCCUCUCCCAAAAUAAGAGGAUCCCGCUGCGCCUGCCUCUCCCCGACGUGCCGCCCAGCCCUCACGGGUGAUAUGAAUCUCCUGUGAGACUUGCCAUGAAUUCUCCCAGCCUUUCCGGGGGAACAGUAGGUAAUUCCCACCUGGGCUCUGCGGCACCUCAUCUUAAACCCCCUCUACCGCCGGCACUCCAGCUCCUGGCCUGAGGAGAGAGAGGGAGCAGCGGCGGGCGCCGCGGCGGCCAGUGCCAGCGCCAGCGCUCGCCGUGGGACUUUGCCUCUUUCUCAGCACGGGGGAGGGAAGGCGCUUCCUUCCGCCGCCAUCGCUGGUCCUGGUCCUGGCGGCAGUUCUAUGGCUGGCGAUGCUGGACUGGGGUUGGGAGGAGAAUAGUUCUCGGGAAAAGUGCAGCCUCAUUGGAGAAACACGAGCCAGACACUCGUGGAGAGAGAGACCAGCCUAGGACCGGACAGGCUGAUGCUGAAUCAUGGGGCUCAGGCCAGACCCACACUAGGAGUCGAGAGGGAAGUCUCCCAAAGCCAAGGCAGUGACUUGCCAAGGUUAUGGGCAGAGUCCGAGCCAAGCCUGGGCUUCCCAGCCCCCUGCCCAAUGCUGGCUGCCCAUUCCUAAGGUUGCUGGCCACCUCAGGGUGCUGGGGGGUGAGGGGCUGUUGUCCUUCAUCCUGCCCUUGGUCCUUAGAAACCAAAGGAAUAUCACCUGGAAGAGCCUGACCACUCCCCCCCCCCAAAAGGAACGUGCUAGCCGCUGCUCUGGCCCUGGCCCCAGACCCCGACCCGGCACCCCCGGGGUGUGUGACCUCUGCACAGCGGGGCUGCAGUCACCGCCUCACAAGGCUGACGUGAGGAGCAGCACAGAUCAGGAAAGAAGCACCAGCAGCGACAACCACCUCAGAAGUGCUUUGCAGAAAGUAAAUUUCCAAACAAAACACGAGCGGUGUCUGAUUUUAUUGCUCUGACAGCUGGAGUUGCAGGCUAUUUUUGAAUUACUCCAAUGUCCCAGCUCAUCCAUGGCCCACUUAUUUAAAAAUGAUUUAUUUGCAACAGGAGAAUAUGGUGUGCGUGUGUUUGGGGCGGGGAUCUCUGAGCCCACUCAGUCAAACCUGGGUCCUGUUGGGCUGAGUGAGGCUGAAAAUGAGGGGAACCUGCAGAAGACCUGCAGGUGCAGAGGGGGUGACUGAGAGCCUGGGGCCAGGUAGACCUGAAGCAGAACUUCCAGGGGCCCAGGGCAUGGCUCUCACACCAGAGACAUGUAAGCUCUGGUCUGGCUCCCGCCUCAGCACCUCCCGCAAUCCCCACCCAUCACCCUGCCCAGUCUGAGCGCCCACUGUCAUUCCUCUACCUGGGCCUGAAUCCUUCCCUGCUUCCCCUGUGCCCCCCACCUCUCCUACCCCUCCCCAGGCUGCCCUCCUCCCGUCAUACAAAGGAUCUGCUCAGCGUAGGUGACCCCUGCUUUCUGCCACUGCCCACGCCCUUCUCUGCCUACAACAGCCUGUCCAGACCUGUCCACCUGCUGAUGUCCCUCUAGCUCCCAUGGGAGAAGCCUUUCCCCACUUCCCCACGAAGGUCUGGGCGCUCCUUUCCCCAAGCUCCUGUAGUUCUCUCCUCCUUGCACCCUCAUGUAACACCGAGGGCUGGUUGCCAUGUCAUUUGCUUCCUCUGUAAAGAACUCCUGAAGGCCAGAGCAGGCAUCUAUCUCUCUCUCUCUCUCACUGCCUAGCAGGUCCUAGGAACUCCAUACAUGUUUGUGGAAGGAGGAAAGGAGCGGGGGCAGAGAGAGGAAGAAGGGGCCCUUCGCGGCGGCUUCCAGGCGGGCUGGCGGCACCACUAGUGCGCAUGGUAUGCUGGUCUGAAGGGCACAGCACCUCUGCCCCACCUCCCCAGAGCCCUAUUCUGAAGCCCCUCGGGCGGCAAAGGAAAGCAUGCUGGCAUUUCCUACAAAGUGAGGGGGUGGCGAGGCAGUCCCCAGGCCUCCCAGCCCUGAAAACUCUUCUAUUUAUAACACGAGCCCUG